CUCUGUUCUCAUCUCUGGCUAUCCAGCGAUGAUAUCAAGCCUGACGACACAGACUCGUAGGUGUCGGUGGUGCGGAAUGCGGCUUUCAGUUAGUCAUCAGCACUUUUGAUAACACAUUCAGUGUUAAACGAGGAGAGUGAGGAGUGUGAGUAUCUCUCUUCAAACUGCCCCUCGUUUCUCGUGUACUGAUCGCCUUCUUCAUCAAAUUUUCACAGACUAGGAGCGAUGGACUGCUGGACAGGUACACAGCGUUAAUUUGCCAGAAAAGGGAUACUUGUUCUUCCUCAUCAACCCCGAAUGUAUUUCUAAAUCCAGCCUUUCAACAGCAACAUCAACAGAGAAUUCCUCAUACUAAGAAGCCCAGUCAUAACUAAACAUGCAUCAUGUAACAACAGAUAGGAACCCAUUAUCUUUUAAAAGGAAUAUUAACAGUAAAGGUUUGGCUGACCAUGCCAUAUUCAGCAAGCCAAGAAGACCAAGGUGGAUAUGCAAACAUUCGCGAUUUACCACGCAGCGGCAGGCCAGAGUUAGCGAGGACGGACGCCAAUGUUGAGAGGGUGAACAACAUGAUCAUGGCGGACAGACGAUAACUGUUAAACAAUUGUCACUCCGACUGGGCAUUGCAGAAGCCAGUGUGUGCAGAAUAUUAUAACAGUUGGGAUUUUCGAAGAUCUGUGCGAGGUGGGUCCCGCGGCCCGGACGCACGUCAGUCUGAGAACCAUGGAGGCGAUCACAAAAUUAAGGUGGACAGUGUUGCCACACCCACCAUAGUCCUGAUCUGGCACCGUCAGAUUAUGACCUGUUGGUAAACUGAAAGACAGUAUUCGUGGGACAAAGUUUGAGGACGAUGACUCCAUUGUGGCGUCUCUGAAAAAGUGGCUCAAAAGCGCUGAUCCAGGGUUUUACCGUGCGGGCAUACACGCCCUUGCUCCGAGGUGGCGUAAGGCAGUUGAGAGAGAUGAAGACUGUGCAGAAAAAGUAAAAUUUCGUUCCUAAAGGCUGUACCUAUCCACUGUGCGAAUAGCAAAGUUGUGAAAUAAAAAUUUAAUUUUUAAACAAAUAUGGUACAUUACUUUUGGAGUGGCCCUCGUAACUAAUUAACUUCAUGAAGCAGAGUUUUUAUUGAGAAAUGAAUAGUCAAACUCAUCUAGUCGAGAAAUUUCCCAACUUUUAUGGAACCUGAAUGUUAAGUACUGUGUUCACAAGAACUCAUCAUUGGUCUCUAUCUUGAGCCACAGAAAUUCAGCCCAUACACUCCAUUCUAUUUCCUUAAAUUCAAUUUUAAUAUUAUCCUUCUAUGUGUGUCUAGGUGUUCCAUGUAUUAUCUUCCCAUCAAGCUUCCUAACCAAAAUUUUGUAUACAUUCCUCAUCCCUCAGUUAUUUAUAAUGUAUAUGAAGCUAACUCACAUCAUAAGGUCAAAUGAUCAAAUUAAUUAUGUCUCCUUCAUAUCUUCUUCUUGUUCAUCUUAAAGUGCCUAUCCAUUCCAGAUGUUGGCGAUCAGUAUAGCAAUUUGAGCUUUACUGGCUGCUACUUGAAACAGCCCUCCAGUGGCCAUCGAGAACCAAGUUUUUAGGUUCUGAAGCCAGGAGAUUCUUGGCCUGCCAGGUCCCAUCUUUCCAAAUACUUUUCCCGUAUCUAUCACUAUUUCUCAUGAUAUGACCAAAAUAUUCCAACUUUCUCUUUUUUAUGGUGUUAACAACCUCAACGUCUUUGCGGAGUUUCUCAAGAACAUUCUUGUUGGUUACACUGUCAGUCCAGGAAAUUCUGAGAAUACGUCGGUACAACCACAUUUCGAAGGCCUCCAACUUUUUUUUUAAGAAACUUUGGUCAAUGUCCACGAUUCAGCGCCGUAUAAAAGCACGGAGAGAAUAUAACAUCUGAGUAGUCUUAAUUUGGUGUUUAAGUUUAAGUCUCUACUCCUGACCAUUGAUUCCAUUUUGAUGAAAGUGGCUCUGGCUUUUUUAAUAAGGCAAUUUAUUUACAAGGAGUGAUCUCACUGGUCAUUAAUUGUGUUGCCCAUGUAUGUAUAUUUCGAUAUGCUUUCUAUUUUUAAUUAUUAACAACUAGCUGACCGGGUAAUACAGCAUUUUUACUGACGACCAUGAGCUUCGUUUUUUUUGAUGUCAAGAUCUAAGCCGUGGUUGGUACUGGCCUUCACAAUACGAUCCAUCAAUUCUUGGAGACCUUCCAGAGAGUCGGCAAACACUACAGUAUCGUCCGCGUACCGAAUGUUAUUUAAUCGUUCUCCAUUCACAAGCACUCCAGCGUUUACAUUUUCCCAUGCUUCUUCGAAUAUGUGUUCAUAACACAGUUUUUUAUUAAAAUACCUGAUAAAAAAUUCAGAAUAAAUAUGUAGACAUUUUUACAAUCAAAACACUGUCAACUUGUAAAUACUUUUGAAUUACCAUCACACAUGAUAAAAAUGUACUU